rnacentral:rRNA from 1 species
AAUGAACGCUGGCGGCGCGCCUAAUACAUGCAAUCGAGCGAGAAGACGUAGCAAUACGUUUGUAAAGCGGCGAACGGGUGAGGAAUACAUGGGUAACCUACCCUAGAGUGGGGAAUAACUAGCCGAAAGGUUAGCUAAUACCGCGUACGCUCCUUGGACUUCGGUUCAGGGAGGAAAGCGAUGCCGAGGGUAUCGCGCUCUUGGAUGGGCUCAUGUCCUAUCAGCUGUUGGUGAGGUAACGGCUCACCAAGGCUUCGACGGGUAGCUGGUCUGAGAGGACGAUCAGCCACACUGGCACUGCGACACGGGCCAGACUCCUACGGGAGGCAGCAGUAAGGAAUAUUGCGCAAUGGGCGAAAGCCUGACGCAGCGACGCCGCGUGGGGGA